rnacentral:lncRNA from 1 species
GAUAAAGAGUAGCAUUGAUAUAGAGAAUACAUACAUAUAAACACAUGCAAGGAAAUAAAAAAAGAGACAACAACAUAUCAAUUACCAUAAGACCUUAUUGACAUUAGGCAAUUAAAAAGGGAGGAAGCGAUAGCAAACUAGAAACAGAGGAUCAAUAUUCAAGUAGCAAAGGAGAAGGGUAUAUUUUCAGGUAAUCCUCACACCUUUUGUUCAAGUAAUUAUGAAAAUAAAAGCAUUCUUAUUCAUCAUAUAAAAUCCAGAAAUACACAUAUUCGAUAAACUCAUUUCAUAAGCAUUUAGUUAGUCACUGAUACUACCAUGUAUCGGUAUCAACAUCAUUGGGCUCAACCCUCAUUGCUUCAGUAAUGACUUAGAGGCGUCAUCCUUAUGUCGAUAGCCUCAUAUACCAUUGUCGGCACCACAACAUUCCUUGCUACUUCGAUGUGAUGACCCAAAUCUCCUAGGAGUCAGGUCUUUGUUCUUUGAGAGAUGGAACCAAUUCGGUCCACCAUAGAUGACGGGUUCGUAGCCCUAUCAGUCUUCAUCAGAAGCACAUCGACUCAUAGAGGAGGCGAUGGCUGGUUCACCGAAACCCCCCCCCUGAUCGGCUUAGCCUCUACCAUCGAGAGCAUCUUUGUUGUUGCCUUCUUCCACCUCCACGAACCAGAGAAGCUUUGGGUAGAGAACCACCGUGAAUCGACGGUGAAAGGUACUCCAAGAACGGGACGAUGGUCUCGGAAUCCUGCCUUCACCAAGACGUUUUGGCCAACCUGACUUCAGCCAUCGAUGACCCUUGGUCAUCACCAUCGCUACCACCACAGAGAAGAAUCGAAGCCACCUUGCUCGUGGGUCAUGGACCGCCAUCCAUAAAGAAGGAAGCCAGGACCGUGAAUCACCGUGAACGAGUCACCAUCGCCGUUCCCUAGACGGCUUAGCUUGGCCAUCGCUGCCUUCUCCCAUAGACUAGAAAUUAAGUCGCCAUGGUUGGAAUUGUAAGGAAGAAUGUGGACAAAAGUAGGGAUUCCAUUCCCUUUUCUUUUUUGCGAGUUAUGGGGGGGCAGUUUUUAC